GAGAACUUCACCUUCAUCAGCUUCAACUUGCCAAGCUUUAUUCUCACAGGCUGCUUAACCCUAAGGUUCAAAGGAAUGAUUCCAUUCUCCUGCUGCUGCUGUUGCAGAGAUGUUAACAACCCAUUAGCAUCCUGUGUUUGCCCUGUCAAUGGCACGAUUAGCACUGUUGUGUUCUUGUGUCCCUGGUAGAAUUUCGGCAGUGACCCUUCACAUAGUUUCGUCCCUGUAUACCAAACACUUAUAUGGCUCCCUCCCUCGUAGUAGAUGCCGAUUUUCUUGUUUGGAUUUGUCGCAGUAAUGGUCACGUCAAACGCAGCUGAUAAGCUUGAAUCGCCACUGAGAUUGAACUGGGUUAUUUGCAGUUUAUCCACUGAAUAAUCUGG
rnacentral:misc_RNA from 1 species